ACGCAUAGAGCAAAGGCAUUAAGGCAUGCAUGCUUCAAACACCCCCAUUUGCAUAAAAGCUUUUUUCCAGUAAUCAUGAUGACAUAUGAUUGUUUUAUAGGAAGUUGAGGAAGAGCAGGGAGAUAUAGAUCUGCCAUAUCCAGCUGAAAGUCACUGGCAGCUAUCUCAGUCUGCAGCUCUCCCUCCACCAGUCAAAACCAUCCAUGCGGUGAAGCCAGCACGUGUGAGCAGUGACCAUGACGCUGCACUUCACCCAAUCACAAUCGAGAAAGACUGUAAAAUGAAGAAAACAACUUUUAAUGUAUAUUCUUUGGAAGAGUUGACUAAAACCAACAAAAAAGAUGUGAUGUGUUCAGUGUGGAGGACUGCUGGAGUCCCACUGCCUUCUAAUGACCGGUCACUAGAGAGUGGCAGUGAGCCACGAACAGCAAACAGUCUCAUCUUUGAACCAGUUUCAACAAAGAAGCAGAAAAAACGAACCGAUAUUAAACCCACUGAUGAGUUUCAGAACAAAGAGAUAAGUAAACUACAAAAAAUACCAACAGAAGAGCCUGCGUUCUUUCAAAUUCGGUGUGCAGGUUGCGUGGUGCCCUUUGAAAAAGUGACGAGUCGUAACUUUGCAUCCCUUCAAAGCUUUUGCCACAACAGCUGUCACAUGCAUCGGGUCCUCAAAGAGGCUACGGAGCGAUUCAGGAAAGCUCAUUUAAACCGCGUGUUUACAAAAGAGUAUCAGGAUAUCCAGAAGAACCUCGCAAGCAAAAGUGCAGUUUCAGAUGCACAAUCUCUAAGAAACUCUCAGAACUGGAACCUCCUCCUCACAGGUGUCACUUUGACUCCUUUGCACAGAGGAGUUCAAAAGAAGACAUUAGCCUCCCACAGCAGAGCCGAUCUACGGUUGACUCCCCUAAAAAGACCGCGUGCACCUGAAGACAGACGUCCAGCAUCAGAUCUGGGUAUAACGCGUGAAUACUACGCCUGAGCGCCUGGAGCGGACCGGUCCUCUCUGAAAUGUGCUUUUGGCAGCAGACGAACCAAAGAGGGAAAGAAUGUUGACCCGCAGCCAGUGUUCUCACAGCACAGCCCGGAGCUGGUUCAGAGCGCCACAGCUGUAUUAAGCUGUUUCACACUCUAAAUGGCACACAGUGUGUGUGUCUGUGUGAAUACUUCAGUCAAAGUCUGUGAGAUACUAGCGACCAAUUGUUAUUCUAAUGCUUUUGUUUCAGGGUAACGGAGGAAAAAUGAAAUGCUUUGAUUUUGACAUUUUCUGGUGUGAUGUAAAUUUUGGAUAUUUGUUCACGGGUUUUCAUUUAGUCAUUACAGCUUUUCCCUAAUUUUGACAAACAUGUUCACAAUCUUUCAUGACAGGGAAAUUCUGUGUACUGUAAUCUUUAGCUGUCAUGCUGGGAUUUAAUGUUUCUUUUUUUAUCUCACAUCCUCCUCCUUUCUUUGAUGAACACAUUGUGAGAUAUUAAUACUUUUUCCAUGUUGCAAUCCAUUUUUUUGGUUGUAGUUUGUUCCUGUUGAGUUUCUUUUUUGUGUAUUUUUAUCAGUAGUUUCAACUUUUCUGCCCUUAUACUGUUUUCAUUAUUUAUAAUAAAUAAUACAGUCUGUUAAAUAUAUUUGGGAUGUUUGGCCAGUUGUUGUGUGAAAUAAACAUCCUUUGUUUACCUUAAGUCAACAUGUUAAUUACAUGUUUUUUUUAAUGAUUCGAGAAAAGAGAGGAUUUACAGAGAACAAUACGUUAUUGAAGAACAGUCAAAGAGCGAGCACAGAUUUAUGUUCUUUUGUAAGCUUUUAAAUAAAGCUGCCAAACCAAACUAUUCUGAAGUUUUUAGCUAAACCAAGUUUCUAAAUUCAACUCUCUUUAACCCUAGAACACCUUUGCUGUAAAAAGUUUCAUCAUCACUUUUGAUGGGUCAUUUUUAUCUGAUAUAAUAAGCCCAAUGAAAAGUACUUUUCAUAAAAAAUAGACCAAAAUAUGACAACAUGUGAUAAAUUAAAGCAGUUUUAUAUUCAACUGUGGUUUAUGUAACAAAAUGGAAUAUAAAAACAUUGGAAGAUCCUAGAAACGUGCUUGAAAUAACUGAAAAAUUAUAAAUUUGAGAACAAAAUUUGAUUUAAAAAAAAAAAUAAUGACACUGGAGACUUGGUCUUGGGUCCAUCCAUUUCCUGAGAAAUGUGAAACUUCACCCAGCGACCUACAAGAAUCAGAAAGUGCAACGUAUUCAAAAUCAUGUUAAUAUUUUGCUUGGGUGAAAAUCACCUGGCAAUAACACUGCGUGUUCAGAAUUAUUAGCCACAUAGAGCUCAAACAGACAGAGCAGGAACAAAUAAAAUAGAAAUAAAAUGUACAUUUUUCAGUUACUUAUCAAAAAAUCUAUUUUAAAAAAGAGUAAUUUGGUUUCUAUAUUAUUUCCUACUAAAUAUAGUUUACAUGUAUGUAUUUUUCUACCAAGCAGGUACUUUUACAAUCUUGUUUUCGACUUUUGUGUUAGGUAGAGAAGGAAGCAGCAGGAGUUGAGCGGUGAGGAGGUCCAGUUCCUCCUCUCUGGAGUAAAGAAGUAUGGCUUCUCCUGGAACUCCAUCUUGUGGUCAUUUCCCUUUCCACCGGGGUGCACUAACGUCGGCCUGGCCAAGAAAUACAGGCAACUCGUGGUAAAAUGAGCAAACAUGAAGUGAAGUAGGUAAUUUAAAGAAUUAGCUAGACAAACGUGCUUACAUACAAACGUUUUUCUCUAAAAAUUUAAAUCCACGGGUGAUGACUGGGCAUAAUUGUUUGGAGACUGUUAUUGUUCUGCACAUAUUUUAGGAAUAUUUCCAUUCUGUUUGUGUUUAAUAUGUAAAUAAUACAGAUUACAAUUUUUUUUUCUUUUGAUUAAAUAUAAGUCUACCUUCUAUUCAACAGAAGUUUUUAUGAACAUGAACUGAGUUAUCAAAUAAAAAAAAACUUCAUUUAUACAAAUUUCCUUUAUAGUAAGUGACAGCAACAAUAGAGUUUGUUGUGUAGUCUUUUAUACAGGAGUUGUGGUAAAUUAACAAAUCAGACGUGCACCAAUUAAAGCCUCUUCCUUCUUUAUUGAGACGCAUUUUGAACAGUAUCUUUAUUUUUGGGGCUGAACAGUGACACAGUGCUAAGUGUGUUUCUUUGUCUUGAGAAGGCCACGGUUCAAUUCCCAGCUGGGACCUUUCUGUGUGGAAUCUGCAUCCGUGGGCUUUCUCCAGAGACUUCAGCUUCCUUGCACAGUCCAUAAACAUACUUUGUCCAUAAACGACUGAUUACUCUAAAGUUUGACUGUGUGGGUUUGUGAUUGUGUGACCCUGCGAUAGGCCCUCAACUUACCCAGUGUGUACCCCGCCUUUGUCCAACGUUCGGCUCUGCCAGCCCUAUGGCCCUUAGUCAAAGGGAACUUUGGUGCAAUUUAUUCAAUGUGACAGUGAAAAAAAGAGUUGCAGAUGUAACAUACAAAGAAGAUUUGUCACCUGCAUGAUUCCAAUCUGAAUCAUCUCUUACUUAUGCUGGAUGGUAUGUUCUAAUCCGCUUGUGCAGCUGCCAGUGUGAGUCAAAUCUCAUGCAGUCGACAUAUUUUUACUCUUUGCUGCAUGUUUGACCCCAGAAAUGAAUCAAAAAGUUCCAUCUGUUGGAAUGUAUUAAUUGUUGGAAUGUUUUUUCAAGAAAUGUAUUUCUGUUAGCAGACGGUGAGACCUUUUCUUGGACCCUUAAAUCAUAUUUUUGCUAUAGCUCUUGGACACAUGGCUUCACGGAAGCAAAUACCAAGUUGUGUUUGCUUUGGCCACCACAAUCCCUAGAGGGACAGGAAAUCAACAAGGGGAGAGGGGACUCGACUCCAGCACUUUUGUUUAUUGUGCCGAAAGCCCCUGGUAUGAGAGGAAUCGCAAAUAGUGCAAAUCAAGCUGUUUAUCUGUUCUGUGUUCACCAAGAGCAGCUCUGCCUGCAAACUGUCCUCUCACAAAAGAAGGGUGUUAAGCUGAGAUCACCGUCUGAAGGUUACCUCGCCUACUCUGUGGGGACUCGUCAAACGGCUGCCAAAAAGACGGGGACUUACCCGCUGGCCGUGCCCUGCAGGAAAUGCUCUUAAGUGUGUCUGUUUUCUCUUCAAAAACUCUCCCUUUCAUUUUUCUUGUCACCUCCUGAUGCCCGUUCCUCCUGUGUUUGAUCCAGAUGCUGGGAUAACAGUGGCGUGGGGGCAGGACGGG
ensembl:lncRNA